AAUAAACAAACCAUAGUUUCCGUGUUCAAUGUUUGACCGUCUGUCUUAUUUGAAAAAAUUGUGAAAAAAAAUUAAAAGACAAGUCACGUAUAAAGUAUUAAUCAUGUUUUAUCAUCUAACAACAAUGAAAAUACUAAUUAUAAAAAAUUUCAUAUAAGACAGACAGUCAAACGUUGGACACGGAAACUCAGGUUUUGUCUUCUU
rfam:Oryza barthii chromosome 1, whole genome shotgun sequence.